AGAAUUGACGGGACCGCACAAGCGGUGGAUGAUGUGGUUUAAUUCGAUGCAACGCGAAAACCUUACCCACCUUUGACAUGUACGGAAUCCUUUAGAGAUAGAGGAGUGCUCGAAAGAGAGCCGUAACACAGGUGCUGCAUGGCUGUCGUCAGCUCGUGUCGUGAGAUGUUGGGUUAAGUCCCGCAACGAGCGCAACCCUUGUCAUUAGUUGCUACAUUCAGUUGGGCACUCUAAUGAGACUGCCGGUGACAAACCGGAGGAAGGUGGGGAUGACGUCAAGUCCUCAUGGCCCUUAUAGGUGGGGCUACACACGUCAUACAAUGGAUGGUACAAAGGGUCGCCAACCCGCGAGGGGGAGCCAAUCCCACAAAGCCGGUCGUAGUCCGGAUCGCAGUCUGCAACUCGACUGCGUGAAGUCGGAAUCGCUAGUAAUCGCGGAUCAGCAUGUCGCGGUGAAUACGUUCCCGGGUCUU
rnacentral:rRNA from 1 species